UACGUAGGGGGCAAGCGUUGUCCGGAAUUAUUGGGCGUAAAGAGCUCGUAGGCGGCUUAGUAAGUCGGCGGUGAAAUACCGAGGCUCAACCUCGGCACUGCCGUCGAUACUGCUAUGGCUAGAGUUUGGUAGAGGAGAACGGAAUUCCCGGUGUAGCGGUGGAAUGCGCAGAUAUCAGGAGGAACACCGGUGGCGAAGGCGGGUCUCUGGGCAGUAACUGACGCUAAGGAGCGAAAGCGUGGGGAGCGAACAGG
rnacentral:rRNA from 1 species